UCCCAUAUGGUGUAGUGGUUAGCAUACCAGGCUUUCAAACCUGCCUCCUGAUCAAAUCAGGAAGAGUGAAAGACUACCCUGGAGUCCCGGGUUCAAUUCCCGGUGUGGGAA